GUAGUUAGCCGGGGCUUCCUCCUUGGCUACCGUCACUUUCUUCGUCACCAAGGACAGAGGUUUACAAUCCGAAGACCUUCUUCCCUCACGCGGCGUUGCUGGGUCAGGCUUGCGCCCAUUGCCCAAUAUUCCCCACUGCUGCCUCCCGUAGGAGUCUGGACCGUGUCUCAGUUCCAGUGUGGCCGAUCAGCCUCUCAGCUCGGCUACCCAUCGUUGGCUAGGUGGGCCGUUACCCCGCCUACUACCUAAUGGGACGCGAACCCCUCCUUCUGCGGAUUGCUCCUUUGACCCCUGAGCCAUGCGACUCUGUGGUCUUAUGCGGUAUUAGCACUUGUUUCCAGGUGUUAUCCCCCUCAAAAGGGCAGGUUGUUCACGCGUUACUCACCCGUUCGCCACUAGCUAUAAAUCCGAAAACCUAUAGCCCGUUCGACUUGCAUGUGUUAGGCACGCCGCCACGCGUCGUCCUCGAGCGACGAGUACAACUACUACGA
rnacentral:rRNA from 1 species